rnacentral:lncRNA from 1 species
CCGGGAAGGUCUGGGAUGAAAUUUAUGACUGUCGUACAAGAGGAAAUUGCAUUCAGUUUGCCUAGCUUGAAUACUAUCGAUAAUUGAACUGCUUCUAAAGCCAUUGGCUAUCAGCACAUCAACAAUUCUUACUGCACUGGGAAGUGGAUUACUUGUCAUUCUUCAGCUCUUGGAAUGUCACAAACUAUAUCGGCUACAAUGGCUGGACACAAAAUCUGAUUUUUUGCAGUCAAUCAGAGGGAAGGACGGGAUGACCAAUUCUCGUUUCUAGAACUCAGAGGGUGAUUCCAAGGAUCAAAUUGUCCUACUCAAUAUAAUGUAAUGGCAAGAACGACAUUGGAGACAAGCGUAGGGCAGGGCAUGGUGACUGGGAUGGCAGCAGCGAAAUGUUAGCGUUAUCGGAGUAGGUGGGAGGCAAGAGAGGAUGCAAGAAAUAGAGGACGAUUGGGUUAAAAUUCUAUCAAAUUUAUGGAUUAGGCCAGUACAAUCAGUAGAGAAUGCAGAGAUGAUUGGGCGAAUUUAUGAAUUAGGCCAGUACAAUAAGUAAAAUUAUAUUGAGCUAGAUAUGUAUUUAUAAAUACCUGAAAACUGAGCUGGCUUGAAUCCUACAGAGAAGUUGAG